GAUUUAUCGGUUGAUACUCGUGCAAUGACAAAUGGAGGUAUCAUACAUUCGUUUUGAUGCUAAUAUUUAUAGAUAUAGCGUCUGCGCAGUAGUCAUUACUAACUUUUACAUGAUAAAACUGCUAAAAAAAACAGCUUGAGAAUCAGGAAUCAAAUCCAGAGUAAACGCCAUUAUCUCUUAGCAGCCUCUUUUCCUCUUCAACGUAACUCUUCCCUCUGCUAGCCUGACCAAGAUCUCUCUUCCUCUUCUCCUUCUGUGAGAAAGAAAAGUUCUUCCUCUCUUUUUGAGUUCGUGCAUGAACAAGUUCCUCUGCUUCCGCUAGUGCAGCCCUCGUCUUCUGACGCUCCUCAUAAGUUUCUUCCUUCUCUUUUUCCCGGGUUUCCUUCCCACUUGACCAAGACCAAUUCUGUUCCUGAUCCGGUUCCUUGGGUGGUGGAACUUUCAAGACAGAUAAUCCACCUCUGUACCCGUGUCGGCUUAGAGCGUCAAAGUCCACACCUUUGCUCUUCCGCUUUGCAGAUUCAGCUUUAUGUUUGGAGGAAGAAGCAUUAGGUUUGAUGUAAGUAGACCCCGAAUUGUCUUCAUUAUCAGUAUCAAUUGCUGAAGAUUCGUCAUCGGAGGAUGAAUCGUCUUCUUCAUCAUCACUCCAUGGCAUUGCCCUCUUCAUCCUCUCAACAAACUUGAAGCACUCACAGCUAACAGGACGAACUCGAGAGAGUGAAACACAAUCGAAUCGAAUUGAAUUGGUUAGGGC
rnacentral:misc_RNA from 1 species